rnacentral:rRNA from 1 species
GACGAACGCUGGCGGCGUGCUUAACACAUGCAAGUCGAACGGUGAAGCGCCUUCCUUUUUGGUGGGUGUGGAUGAGUGGCGAACGGGUGAGUAACACGUGAGUAACCUGCCCCCUUCUUCUGGAUAACCGCAUGAAAGUGUGGCUAAUACGGGAUAUUCUGGGUCUGUCGCAUGAUGGGUCUGGGAAAGAUAUUGUUUCGGUGGGGGAUGGGCUCGCGGCCUAUCAGCUUGUUGGUGGGGUGAUGGCCUACCAAGGCGGUGACGGGUAGCCGGCCUGAGAGGGUGGACGGUCACACUGGGACUGAGACACGGCCCAGACUCCUACGGGAGGCAGCAGUGGGGAAUAUUGCACAAUGGGCGCAAGCCUGAUGCAGCGACGCCGCGUGAGGGAUGGAGGCCUUCGGGUUGUGAACCUCUUUCGCCAGUGAAGCAGGCCUGCCUCGUUUGUGGGUGGGUUGAUGGUAGCUGGAGAAGAAGCGCCGGCUAACUACGUG